rnacentral:rRNA from 1 species
UACGUAGGGUGCGAGCGUUGUCCGGAAUUAUUGGGCGUAAAGAGCUCGUAGGCGGUCUGUCGCGUCUGCUGUGAAAUCCCGAGGCUCAACCUCGGGCUUGCAGUGGGUACGGGCAGGCUAGAGUGCGGUAGGGGAGAAUGGAACUCCUGGUGUAGCGGUGGAAUGCGCAGAUAUCAGGAAGAACACCGAUGGCGAAGGCAGUUCUCUGGGCCGUAACUGACGCUGAGGAGCGAAAGCCAGGGGAGCAAACGGG